CAACCACCAGCUAAUCUCUAUUGGCUUGCAUCAGAGCUGAUGAAUACUCAGUCAGAAGAAAUGCAGGCCUGCAGGUUUGUCCACAAAGUGUUCCCAUCAACCGUGACGGCUCUCUCAAAUGUUACUGUCUAUAUGAAUCCACCUUGGGAUAUUAGUAAAAUGAGUUUCUGAUACAGAAGAUCUAGAAAGCGCCUGAAAUGCUGAUAUUCUGUCUCCCAGGUGGAGGAGUUCAGCUAUUACCUUGACUUUGCCGAAGUCCUAGGCACUCCCAUGCCCUCAGAGUCUCAUUUUGAAUCCAGGCACUUAGGGAUGCUAUUUUUCCACAUCAAACAGCUUCCUCCCAGCCAAAGAAUUCUGGUGACAGUAGUGAAGAUAAUUUUCACUCCUGCUUACAGAAUGACAAAGCAAAAGCAAAGAGGAGAAGAAUGAAGUAAAGACAACCAAAGGAAAAGACUGAUGGCUCCUUAAGAAUGAUCUUGAUAAAGGAAUGGUGGCUGAGGGGUCCAUCUCCUAAACCACCCACCUUACUGACUCCCUAGAGCAAUGCCAUACAGAAAGCUGCACCUUGAGGGGAAGACACAAGAAUCCUGGAGUGGAAAAAAAUUGGGUAAUGAUGACAGCCUUCGAGGUCUUGAGAGUAAAGCAGAAGCAAAAAAAAAGUGUUAUUUUUAUCUUUUGAAGAUGGUUCCCUCUUAAGACUUUUGCGAAUGAUUAAGAUUUCAAUUAUGUUCCAGGAAAAAAAUAAGAUUUUUGCUUGACAAAAAAAAUUUUUGUCUAGAACAGGUGGGAAGGAAGAGAUAGUUUAGCCACAUCCAAGAGACCUGUAAAUUGGGUACAGUGAAGUGAAUGGUGUACCAGUCAUAAAAGAAUGUUAACUGGAGAAGUCUCUGCUGUCUUCCUGUAACUGAGGGGGGUGUAACCAUCCUUGUGGAAGCGUCCACUUUUAUUGAAGAUUGGCUAAAUAAAUCUGUGCCUACUGAAACUCAAG
rnacentral:lncRNA from 10 species